UUACUUUUGUCUACAGAGUGUCUCCAACCUUCUGAUUCUGUGUCUUCCAUAUCAUCCUUGGAACCUGUGAUUUAUUAGUGAGACUUGAAAUACCUCUUUAUGGGAUCGACUUGUUCGGCACAUGAAACAAAACCAGUGGACACCUCUUCUCACUUUGAUGAGCAUGUAGGUGCAUGGGAGUCUGGAUUGAAACAACAUUGCAAAUAAGAAUAUUAAGAAUAUUAACAGAGCUGUACAGGACUGUUGGCUGCAACACUUGGGACAUUUAGGUAAGAAAAGGUGUCACACUUUUCUGCCUCCGCAAAGCCAACUGAGAGUAGGAG